CCUACGGGGGGCUGCAGUGGGGAAUAUUGGACAAUGGGGGCAACCCUGAUCCAGCCAUGCCGCGUGUGUGAAGAAGGCCCUCGGGUUGUAAAGCACUUUCAGUGAGGAAGAACGCCUGGUGGUUAAUACCCAUCAGGAAAGACAUCACUCACAGAAGAAGCACCGGCUAACUCCGUGCCAGCAGCCGCGGUAAUACGGAGGGUGCGAGCGUUAAUCGGAAUUACUGGGCGUAAAGCGCGCGUAGGUGGCUUGAUAAGCCGGUUGUGAAAGCCCCGGGCUCAACCUGGGAACGGCAUCCGGAACUGUCAAGCUAGAGUGCAGGAGAGGAAGGUAGAAUUCACGGUGUAGCGGUGAAAUGCGUAGAGAUCGGGAGGAAUACCAGUGGCGAAGGCGGCCUUCUGGACUGACACUGACACUGAGGUGCGAAAGCGUGGGUAGCAAACAGGAUUAGAUACCCUUGUAGUC
rnacentral:rRNA from 1 species